rnacentral:rRNA from 1 species
AGAACUUGUUGUCCCCUUACGAUGCGCGUCUAACGGAGCAGGAGAGCUUGCUCUCCGGAUCAGUGGCGAACGGGUGAGUAACACGUGAGCAACCUGCCCCGGACUCCGGGAUAACAGUUGGAAACAGCUGCUAAUACCGGAUACGAGCUGCGAAGGCAUCUUCAGCAGCUGGAAAGAACUUCGGUCUGGGAUGGGCUCGCGGCCUAUCAGCUAGUUGGUGAGGUAACGGCUCACCAAGGCGUCGACGGGUAGCCGGCCUGAGAGGGUGACCGGCCACACUGGGACUGAGACACGGCCCAGACUCCUACGGGAGGCAGCAGUGGGGAAUAUUGCACAAUGGGCGCAAGCCUGAUGCAGCAACGCCGCGUGAGGGACGACGGCCUUCGGGUUGUAAACCUCUUUUAGCAGGGAAGAAGCGAAAGUGACGGUACCUGCAGAAAAAGCGCCGGCUAACUACGUGCCAGCAGCCGCGGUAAUACGUAGGGCGCAAGCGUUAUCCGGAAUUAUUGGGCGUAAAGAGCUCGUAGGCGGUCUGUCGCGUCUGCUGUGAAAACCCGAGGCUCAACCUCGGGCCUGCAGUGGGUACGGGCAGACUAGAGUGCGGUAGGGGAGAUUGGAAUUCCUGGUGUAGCGGUGGAAUGCGCAGA